rnacentral:rRNA from 1 species
UACGAAGGGGGCUAGCGUUGCUCGGAAUCACUGGGCGUAAAGGGUGCGUAGGCGGGUCUUUAAGUCAGGGGUGAAAUCCUGGAGCUCAACUCCAGAACUGCCUUUGAUACUGAGGAUCUUGAGUACGGGAGAGGUGAGUGGAACUGCGAGUGUAGAGGUGAAAUUCGUAGAUAUUCGCAAGAACACCAGUGGCGAAGGCGGCUCACUGGCCCGUUACUGACGCUGAGGCACGAAAGCGUGGGGAGCAAGCAGG